UUGGAGCAAUUAACCACUCUGGGUGUGGGGCAAACGCCUAAGAACCAAAAGGGCUCAAGUAGAGGACCUCUGCUAAAAGGCAGAGAAACAUCUCAGGGAGGAAGAAGUGAAAAGUAGAGGCUUGAAAGGUGAAGGUCUCAGUUAGGAGGAAGGGGCAAAGUCUGUGCCCAACACCUAGCCCUUAAGGCAUCUGCCAAGUUUUCAAGUUGAACAAGGCAGGACGCUAGGAAAGCCAAGCAGACAGACUCUGAAGAACAGACUCAAGUUUGCAUCUGUCUUGCACUGCUGAGGAGACAAGGGUAGAAGUCAAGAUUCACUUUGGGAUGAGUCCAGUCAACUCCCCUGGCGCUGCUGAGAGGUUCACAUUACUUGGUGUCAGAAGGGGUAUUCGAAGGAGCUGAUCCCUAAAGAACUAACGAUCCUGGGAAUCAUGCCUGGUACCCAGUUGAUCCCCUUGUGUUCUCCACUGUUUUGGUCUGAAAACCCCCAAAAGCUGCUUUCUGAUGAGGAUGACUGCAUUGACCGAAUAAGCAAAAGCAUUUUCCUGGGAUCUACAAGAAGAGAAAUCAGUACUAUAUUAGGGGAUCAAGGAGGUGAAGAGACCACCAGACUUCUUGGGACACUGAUCCUUUUCCUUCACGGCCUUGCGUAGCAGAGUCAUCUGCUGCAUGUUCCGUUUUCUUUCCUGGAAACCACCUACACUCAGCCUUCAGCCUGAACCACACGAGAACUUUGAUGUGUGAAGUGGGGAACCAGCAUCCUCACGGACGGGAUAACAGAAGAGGCCAUCAUGGCUUUGGAGACAGGAGAUGGGGGAACAUCACAUCCCAGACGACUUCAAGGUCAACAUGAAGUUGGAUGCAGCCCUGGGAGAAGAUCUGAUUAAGGUCCUGGAGAAUAUGAGGCAGGAAUAUGAGUUUGUAACAGAGAAGAAGCAUCCAGACUUGACUGCUUGGUUUAAAGAGCAGCCGUGAAGAAACAGAAUUUCAAGAAGGAACAUUAAAAAACUCUUGCAACAGCACUCCACCUGAUUGAGCAUCUGCCCAGCUCCGUAAGAGGAAGAGACUGAAGCACUGAGGGGUGAAAUCACUUGUCCAAGGCCGCACAACUGUAACAGACGGAAAUAUGAAAGAAAUACAGAUGCGCCUGGCCCAUCUCGUCACACAUUAUUUUGAAGGAAGCCAGUUCUUUUUAGAAAAUGACAGCAAGGCGGAUUCUUCGCCGCUGAGCCACCAGGAAGGCCUACAUCCAUAGUGUAUGCCUUGUGAAUGAAUUACAUCCUAGAUUUCUGCUUCAUUAUUGGAACUCAACACAUCUUCUCUUAGAAUCAAAUACUCCACCAGAGCUUUCAACAGCGUGGCCAUUGGCUAGUCAGGCCCUCUGUCUGAAAGGAAUGAAAUGCUUCCUUCCUGGGUGGCUGCCUAUGAGCUGGAACAGUACAUGAUGUUCAAGAUAAGAAAACGGAAGUUCCAAGCACGGAGCUUGUGUGGUUUAACCAAAUGAGAUCACCAUGGGCUCCCUCUGCUGCUGUCUUAUCCCCCUGGCACUGUGAGAAGAGCAUUCUCCCAUGGGAUCCUGGACCUCUGACCUUUGAGAGUUACACACACCAUAACCCAGAGCAGAUGAAAUUGGACAUGCAGACUAUUUCCUCCUGUCACAUAGAACAGCCGUCCUCAACCUUUUUGGCACCAGCCAGGGACCAAUAUCGUGAAAGACAAUUUUUCCCCAGACUUGCUGUGUUUGUGUGUGUGUGUGGUGGGGGGGAGGUGGUUUGGGGAUGAUUUGAGCACAUUACAUUUAUUCUGACUUUAUUUCUAAUCUAAUGCUGCCACUAAUCUGGCAGGAGGUAUGGGCCCAUGGCCCGGAGGUUGGAGACCCUGACAUAGAAGAUAGAAGCAGAAUGUGAGUCUAGCUGUGUCCUUCCAGCUGAGUCAUGGCGCAGGCCCCCAGUGUCCACAAGGAGCAGCCCAAAGUGACACCAAUGCCUUCACCAAGGGAGCCAGCUGUGGCCUCGCUCACCACAAAUACUGCACACCACGGAAAACAAAAGGUACACAAUACAGUAAAGAAGCACCCAGCCUAUCUCCUGCAAAAUGCAAGAGCCUGUGCUUCUCCAGAAGGCAGGAGCAAAGCCAAGUGCUUGGAAAGAAAGAAAAAUGAUGAGCCUAGCAACAUGUUAAAAGCCUGUAUCAAAAGGAAAAAAGGCUACCAACUAAAAAUUACCCGGACCGCUGAUGCCUUUUCAUUGAACCCAGGAGAGUGCUGGAUGUACCUCACUGGAAGUGAAAGGCAAGGAGACUUCUCUCUGCUCUGCCCUCCCAUCCACCUGCCAUCAGCAGAUGUUACAGUUUGGGCUGACCAGGCAGAGGCCUAAAGAGGAGAUAGAGACUCCUGUGUAAGUCGCCUGACUACAUGUUCUUUGGCAACCCCACCCCCGCCUCAGCAGGACACCCCUGGUGAUGUUCACACAGCCAGACUUUACUAUCCCUUUGGGAGCUAAAUUGUGAGUGUGCAACCAAGAAAGUGAGUGUGUGUGUGUGUGUGUGUGUGUGUGUGUGUGUGCGUGUCUGUGUCUGUGUCUGUGUGUAUGUGACGGGGUGGGGGUGGUGGGGUGGUGGGUGCCUCUUCAGACGCUGGACACUGCUCCCAUACACCAUAGAAGAAAUAUCAACUUAUUGGUAAUUGUGUGAUAAAUUACAAUUUUUCAAAAUCAUAAUUUUUUCUAUUUCUAGCCAAAGACUCUCUUUCCCCUUAUCUAAACAAUCAGGAUUUGGUUCUCUCAAAUCCCAACCUUCUCUGUCUGCAAAGGUUAUUAUUGGCUUGGUUAAACAAAGUACUUGUUUAUAAUAGAUAUAAUAGAUGAUGGAGUCAUUUUGAAAUUACACAGUUGGUGUAAUAAAACCAGUUAAAACCUUAUUUAAAAAAUGUCACAGUUGGUCAAAUGUAUUAAUGGCAUAUGGUUUAGUUUUCUCUCUUUUUUUUUCCCCAGAACAAUAUGUGCAUUCUCGUUUCACAGAGUGAGUAGAGGAUUAAUGGAGCAAGAUAAACUUUCUCCUGGCUUUUCUUCUAGACAAUCUACACUUUCAUUAACUGCCUCGAGCUUUAUUUAUCUCCUUUCUCCAUCUUCCCCAUGUUGUCUUCCUCUUCCCCCUAGCACCCAAUUAUGGAAUUCCUAAAAUUCUGGGUAAUGUAAGAGAUAAAUAUUAUAUCAUGUAGAGCAUGUUUGAGAGGAAAAAGUUAAUGCAGAAAUUACACACUACAUAAACAGAAUGCCCACAACUGGCAGGCAUAAUUAUUUUUCUCCUGUUGAUAUUACCAACUGUAAUAAUAAAGUUUAAAAUGUGCCUCAAAACAUAAUAUUUCAGCUGCAUGUAGUCAUCAUACCAGUGAAGAAUAUAAUUGCAUUAUUUGUCUCCUCUGAAAGCUCUCACUCAUAACUAUACCUUUCCCAAGAUUUCCAUUUGGAGAUUUGCUUGGUAGUUUCUAGAGAUAAUGUAUCAAUGGAAGUUUUGAAGUCAGGAGUCGCCAGGCUAAGCAGGCUGUACCUGGUCAAGUGGGUCAUCCCAGAAUGGUGCCAGGGCUCUGCCUGGAGCUUGGAGAUGCCAUCUCUAAUCUACAGUUCUGCCAUGAAUUUGUUUUUUGUCAUAAAUGAAGCAUGGGGCUGUGCUUUAAUUUUCCUCACUGCCCUCUGUCAAGUAAUAACCAUAAAUAUUGUCCUGAAUCAUUAAGUCACAACCUGAAACGUGAUCCUGCCCAGCUCCCAAUCAGACGGCCAUCUGGAAGAUGAAAGAAGUCUAUUUGGGUUUCAGAAUGAUCCAGACUCUAAUUUGUAGUAACAGUCUUAACAGGCUGUUUCAGAGACAUUAACCAGUGACUUGUCUCAGAUUCUCAAGGAAGGUCCAUUAUCCACAGUUGGAGGUAUUUGCUUCAAGCAGAACUGUGAAUUAUAACUGUUGGAAAACUACCAGACUCUGUGGCUUUCAAUCAAAUGCCAUGUUCUUCCAUGGACACUAGAUUUCUACCCAAGGGCAAGAAUAUAUGCAUACAGCAGAUGCAUACAUAAUAUAUGUCCAAAUAUUCUCCAUAUCACAAAGAAAGCAAAUAUUUCAAGAGAAGAAAACAAAUUGCAGCUUCCACAAGCAAACAACAAAGCAACAUGAUAGAUGUAUAAUUUUUCCUAUCACCCUGAGGUUACUUUUGUGGAGAAAAAUAAAUCGUACUCUUGUUUUGCUGUAGAAAUAAUCCUGUAAACACAAAGAGAAAGUCAUUAUCGAAAGUCUGGAAACAUAUGCUUAAGCAUGAGUAUACCACUGAUCAAAGGGAUGAAGCGAUUGCAUUGAAUAUCUGAACUUCCUGGUCAUUAGAGAAGCAAGCAAUAUCAAUAGGAGAUGCCUUUCCAUUUCUACUUGACUUUGAAUUGGAAGACCAAAGAAAGAAAACAACAGGGGGAGAUCAUGUUUCUUCUCUUCUCUGAAUUACACAUUGCAUCAUUCUUGACAAGGGAGUGUGUUGAAUUUAACUCUUGAACAUUACAAGUGCACUAAAAAAUAAAAUAACGAUUUUCAUUUAUAAAUGCAUGAAGUAAAUGAUAUUUUAGAUAAAUGAGUGUGUCAGUGGUGAGUUGGAGCAAAACUAAACCAACAUUGACAGCAAAAGAGUGUUUAUCACCUUCAGGGAAGAAAAUUUCAUACCAACUUUCAGAAAUCUUUUUUAUUUGCCUCAAAAUUUGUUCAGCAUCUCUCAC